rnacentral:rRNA from 1 species
AUAGGGGAGCCGAAGGGAAACCGAGUCUUAACUGGGCGUUAAGUUGCAGGGUAUAGACCCGAAACCCGGUGAUCUAGCCAUGGGCAGGUUGAAGGUUGGGUAACACUAACUGGAGGACCGAACCGACUAAUGUUGAAAAAUUAGCGGAUGACCUGUGGCUGGGGGUGAAAGGCCAAUCAAACCGGGAGAUAGCUGGUUCUCCCCGAAAGCUAUUUAGGUAGCGCCUCGUGAACUCAUCUUCGGGGGUAGAGCACUGUUUCGGCUAGGGGGCCAUCCCGGCUUACCAACCCGAUGCAAACUACGAAUACCGAAGAAUGUUAUCACGGGAGACACACGGCGGGUGCUAACGUCCGUCGUGAAGAGGGAAACAACCCAGACCGCCAGCUAAGGUCCCAAAGUCAUGGUUAAGUGGGAAACGAUGUGGGAAGGCACAGACAGCCAGGAUGUUGGCUUAGAAGCAGCCAUCAUUUAAAGAAAGCGUAAUAGCUCACUGGUCGAGUCGGCCUGCGCGGAAGAUGUAACGGGGCUAAACCAUGCACCGAAGCUGCGGCAGCGACACUAUGUGUUGUUGGGUAGGGGAGCGUUCUGUAAGCCGUUGAAGGUGGCCUGUGAGGGUUGCUGGAGGUAUCAGAAGUGCGAAUGCUGACAUAAGUAACGAUAAAGCGGGUGAAAAGCCCGCUCGCCGGAAGACCAAGGGUUCCUGUCCAACGUUAAUCGGGGCAGGGUGAGUCGACCCCUAAGGCGAGGCCGAAAGGCGUAGUCGAUGGGAAACAGGUUAAUAUUCCUGUACUUGGUGUUACUGCGAAGGGGGGACGGAGAAGGCUAUGUUAGCCGGGCGACGGUUGUCCCGGUUUAAGCAUGUAGGCGGAGGUUCCAGGUAAAUCCGGUACCUUUUAACGCUGAGGUGUGAUGACGAGGCACUACGGUGCUGAAGUAACAAAUGCCCUGCUUCCAGGAAAAGCCUCUAAGCAUCAGGUAACACGAAAUCGUACCCCAAACCGACACAGGUGGUCAGGUAGAGAAUACCAAGGCGCUUGAGAGAACUCGGGUGAAGGAACUAGGCAAAAUGGUGCCGUAACUUCGGGAGAAGGCACGCUGAUAUGUAGGUGAAGCCCCUGCGGGUGGAGCUGAAAUCAGUCGAAGAUACCAGCUGGCUGCAACUGUUUAUUAAAAACACAGCACUGUGCAAACACGAAAGUGGACGUAUACGGUGUGACGCCUGCCCGGUGCCGGAAGGUUAAUUGAUGGGGUUAGCGGCAACGCGAAGCUCUUGAUCGAAGCCCCGGUAAACGGCGGCCGUAACUAUAACGGUCCUAAGGUAGCGAAAUUCCUUGUCGGGUAAGUUCCGACCUGCACGAAUGGCGUAAUGAUGGCCAGGCUGUCUCCACCCGAGACUCAGUGAAAUUGAACUCGCUGUGAAGAUGCAGUGUACCCGCGGCAAGACGGAAAGACCCCGUGAACCUUUACUAUAGCUUGACACUGAACACUGGUCCUUGAUGUGUAGGAUAGGUGGGAGGCUUUGAAGCGUGGACGCCAGUCUGCGUGGAGCCGCCCUUGAAAUACCACCCUUUAAUGGCUGGUGUUCUAACGUAGACCCGUAAUCCGGGUUGCGGACAGUGUCUGGUGGGUAGUUUGACUGGGGCGGUCUCCUCCCAAAGAGUAACGGAGGAGCACGAAGGUUAGCUAAUCCUGGUCGGACAUCAGGAGGUUAGUGCAAUGGCAUAAGCUAGCUUGACUGCGAGAGUGACGGCUCGAGCAGGUGCGAAAGCAGGUCAUAGUGAUCCGGUGGUUCUGAAUGGAAGGGCCAUCGCUCAACGGAUAAAAGGUACUCCGGGGAUAACAGGCUGAUACCGCCCAAGAGUUCAUAUCGACGGCGGUGUUUGGCACCUCGAUGUCGGCUCAUCACAUCCUGGGGCUGAAGUAGGUCCCAAGGGUAUGGCUGUUCGCCAUUUAAAGUGGUACGCGAGCUGGGUUUAGAACGUCGUGAGACAGUUCGGUCCCUAUCUGCCGUGGGCGCUGGAGAAUUGAGGGGGGCUGCUCCUAGUACGAGAGGACCGGAGUGGACGCAUCACUGGUGUUCGGGUUGUCAUGCCAAUGGCACUGCCCGGUAGCUAAAUGCGGAAGAGAUAAGUGCUGAAAGCAUCUAAGCACGAAACUUGCCCCGAGAUGAGUUCUCCCUGAGACUUUAAGUCUCCUGAAGGAACGUUGAAGACGACGACGUUGAUAGGUCGGGUGUGUAAGCGCAGCGAUGCGUUGAGCUAACCGAUACUAAUGAACCGUGAGGCUUAACCUUACAACGCCGAAGCUGUU